rnacentral:rRNA from 1 species
UCUUUCAGAGUCCGAGUUGUAAUUUGAAGAAGGUAUCUUUGGGUCUGGCUCUUGUCUAUGUUUCUUGGAACAGAACGUCACAGAGGGUGAGAAUCCCGUGCGAUGAGAUGAUCCAGGCCUAUGUAAAGUUCCUUCGAAGAGUCGAGUUGUUUGGGAAUGCAGCUCUAAGUGGGUGGUAAAUUCCAUCUAAAGCUAAAUAUUGGCGAGAGACCGAUAGCGAACAAGUACAGUGAUGGAAAGAUGAAAAGAACUUUGAAAAGAGAGUGAAAAAGUACGUGAAAUUGUUGAAAGGGAAGGGCUUGAGAUCAGACUUGGUAUUUUGUAUGUUACUUCUUCGGGGGUGGCCUCUACAGUUUAUCGGGCCAGCAUCAGUUUGGGCGGUAGGAGAAUUGCGUUGGAAUGUGGCACGGCUUCGGUUGUGUGUUAUAGCCUUCGUCGAUACUGCCAGCCUAGACUGAGGACUGCGGUUUAUACCUAGGAUGUUGGCAUAAUGAUCUUAAGUCGCCC